CAAAAUGUGGAAACACACUUGAAACGCAUUAACGAAUUAGAAGGAAGCCAUGAGAAUAUUUCAAAUAUUAUUUCUUGAGUUUAUUAUAACUUGAAAUCUUAUUCCGCAAAUCUGUAUGGAUGGUAUGAAGACAUUCUCAGGAGAGUUGAUUGGCUAAUUCCGAGAUUACUAAUCCACAAAGUUAUGAUGUUGUUUCCUUUCAAUUGGCUAGAAUCCAUUACUUUGUCGAGUUAUAGCAUGACUACAUGGAUUAAUUUACGUGAACAAAAUCUUAACACAAAAUAAAAUAGUUCCUGAAAGGAUAUUUGGGUGAAAAAGAAGGGGUGAAAUAAGCACGUACACCAAAACUCGAAAUAAUCCAAAGAAAACAAGACUUUCAACAUAAUAUAAAUGUAAUAUAUUUCUAUUUUGGAGACUUUAAUACCAAGGCUACAAUCCUAUAGGUUCAAGUUACCCAAAUUCAACAAAAAGGACAUGCAACCACUUAUGAUGUCUUCCAGUUUGAACAAAAUUAUCCAAAGGGAACAAGACUUUCAACAUAACUAUAAAUGCCGUCGAUUUUAUUUUCCUUUGGAAGCCCCUUUAUUUUUAAUUCCCUCCAACUCUUUCUUGUGACGUCAUAACAAAAACAACGGACAACACUUGAACUUAAGUACAAGACAAAUACGAUCUCCCCAUCACUAGGAAUGGGGGACGGUAUAAAUAGAGGUUUUUUCUCAUUCCAUAUCGAGGGAAAGCGAAUGAUAUGUCUCUUUCAUUGUUUUCUUGGAGUCUGCUCUAAAAUCCACAUGUAUAUGUAUCCACUUCCCGUUACAUAACUAUAAUCUAUGACUGCUAAUUUACCCUU